UAAACUUUUCAUCGUUGUGUGUCUCGGUACGAUGUCGAGGCGGCGGAAUAAUUAGCUCAUCUUCAGUUUCCUACAAUCGAAAAAAGGACCUUAACCACAGAGCAUAGCAAGAUGCAGCUUCAGACAUUUAACUCACCACAAUCACAUCUGCAGGGUUAACACUCCGGAGGGGCAAGAUUUCUGCUUCAGGAUCACCAAGCAUGCCAGGCAUCACAGGGGUUUGUUGGAUGGACGAUACAGAUUUACGAGUUGGGGAGUAUUCCUCAGAAUGGUAGCCUGAACUAUGACCAUGAGGCUUCACAUCACCAUCAUAAUCU